rnacentral:lncRNA from 1 species
CUUGGUAACUAGGACAAUGGGAGUUCCGUCCAAAGCCAUCACCUUCAUUGCUGGAAUCUGAGCCAAGGAGAAUAAAGACAUUUAUUUUGGGAUAAUAGCUUAAGUAUAACCUAUUGCAUUAUUCCUGUGAGUAAUGGAGGUUUGUCCCUGGCAGCCCUUCUGCUGUGAAGAUUCAGACUUAAGCCUGAUCUUAUUUCCAAGGGCAGCAGAGGGCAGAGACAGAGAGAGCACGUGAGCACAAUGAAGCAUGAAGACAAGAAAGAAAGCUGACCAAUUUGGGGAAUCUAGUCCAUGCUCCGCUGCUCUCUUACAAAGGUGAAGAGGGACGUACUGAUGACAGUCACAGUGGUAGAAGAACCCCAAUAGCUUUGGAAUAACCCCAAAGCCAGAGGAUUUGCUCCUCCUUUCCUAUGGCGUGGCCCCUUCAGGAACGUUUGCAUUCAGCAUCGUUCUAGAGCAAC